AACUUGGUUCAGGGAUGCACUAAGCCCAGGGGAACAGCCUAGAGCCUCUGGCUUGAGGAAGAAGGCGGGCCCCUAUCUAGCAGGAAGUCCUGCCCCCAAGCAAGGGCAGAGCCCCUCAGAGGAGGACUCAGGGGUGCAGAGAACCUGGACCCAGGAGCCAUCUGGUUCCAGCCCUUGCAAGACAGCUGCAUUCUAAGCCUCUGACCCUGGGAAGUGACCUGUCCAGAGGCCGCACAGCCACUUCUCUAUGGAACAGCAGCUCCCAGUACAAGGACAAGGCGAAGGCGUGGCUGGUCUGGGGUCCUCCCUGCACAGUCCUGUCAAACUCUGGGCUUAAGGAAUGGGAAGAUGAGGCAUCCUCACCUAUGGCUGACUUGCUUAGGAACAUUCCCGUUCUCAAUGUUCUCGUGCCUCCCGUUUUGAAGCGGCUUGCUGCUCACACCAUUGGCCGAGUUGAUCAGUCUCUGCUGCUGUGUGGACAGGAGGCGCCUGCACUGACCUCUGGUCCACCUCUAUGAAUCUGG